UUUCAGAAAUAAGAACUGAACACAUAACAGGGGGAUAAUUCCAGACUCAAAAGAUGGUAUGAAGAACAUGUGAAAAACUGCCUAACAAACAGCACUGAUAAAAGGUUCCACCACCACCUCUAAGCCCUCUGUGCCAACACAGCUGUGAACGGCCCCCUUGGGACUCCUGCUCUGACCAAAGCUGUGACUGAACACUACCGCCGUCGCCUGCAAUUCCAGUCCAGCCCCACGGGGCUCUUCCUGCCACCCUCCUUUCCACGCUGCGACUCCCUUCCCCCCAGCAAGAAGCCUGAACCCCUUUGUCCUUAGUAUAGUCGCCUGGGUGCUCAAUCCUAGAAUAGAGAUGGCCAGACACUGACACAGCAACACUGAGAAAAACACAGAAUCUUGCUAAAGGUGGUCAAAGUCCACACUUCUCUUCGUCUGCAGACUGAGGGUCCACAGUCAGCACACUGGGGCCCCAUAUUGCCCAGGCCAGUCCUUCCUCCCCUCCAGUGCAGUUGCUGUUCAUCUGAAGUCCAGCUGGGCUCUGAUGGCAGCUUGGGUAGUAUUCCACCGCAGGUUUCCCUCACCCUUGAUGUUCUGGUUUAUACUGGAGUAUGCAAAAUACUAACACGGUUCUAAAAGUCAAAACCACAAGGAGCAAAUGCAGAAAUAUCACUGUCCCCACCCCUGCACCAUCUCCCACUUACCCAUGAAAGUCACCAAGCUCAGUCACCUCUGCCUUAUCCUUCUUGUACUUUUUUUGCAAAAAUUUAAGUGUAUCCUCCCAUAUUUCUUACACCAAAGUAGCACAUUAUAUGUGCUCUUUUUAUACUUUGUUGUUCUCACUGAACAAAGCAUCCCAGAACUCACUCCACGCAGUUUGCAGGUGUCGCCGUCCCCCUCUCCCCUCUGCCUAGCAGUCCUGUGUGCCAUUAAUUCAACCAGCCUAAGUGUGGACAUUCACAAUUGCAUCCCUACAUCUGCAGUUAAACAAUAUUAUAACAAAUAACCUCAUGCAUGUGUAUUUUCCUGCACAACAUUUUUAAGUGGACAAAAGGUGGUAUAUAAUAACAGGCUUAAUACCACCUCAGUGUAUUGGUUCAAAAAUGUGUACCUGCAUACACAUAUAGAAAAAGCAGUUGGGAAGGGACAAGUUAAACACAGCAGUAAGCUUUGCGUGGGUAUUCAGUGGGGAGGAUGUUCAUGUUUUAUACGGAUAUAAAUUUACAUAUAUAUGUUUCA